rnacentral:rRNA from 1 species
CCUACGGGAGGCUGCAGUGAGGAAUAUUGGUCAAUGGGCGCGAGCCUGAACCAGCCAAGUCGCGUGAAGGAAGACUGCCCUACGGGUUGUAAACGUCUUUUAUCAGGGAAUAAAGUGAGGCACGUGUGCCUUUUUGUAUGUACUUUAUGAAUAAGGAUCGGCUAACUCCGUGCCAGCAGCCGCGGUAAUACGGAGGAUCCGAGCGUUAUCCGGAUUUAUUGGGUUUAAAGGGAGCGUAGAUGGGUUGUUAAGUCAGUUGUGAAAGUGUGCGGCUCAACCGUAAAAUUGCAAUUGAUACUGGCUGUCUUGAGUACAGGAGAGGUAGGCGGAAUGCGUGGUGUAGCGGUGAAAUGCUUAGAUAUCACGAAGAACUCCGAUUGCGAAGGCAGCCUACCAAACCGCCACUGACAUUGAUGCUCGAAAGUGUGGGUAUCAAACAGGAUUAGAUACCCGAGUAGUC